CUUGCCUCAUACUCGGGAAUAGCCUUGCGAAAGUAAGAUUAAUGCCCGAUGUUCUUCAUUUUUCACAUGAGAGAUGAAGCAAAGAUUAAUCGGUAUGAGAUGGCGAUGCGUCCCAUUAGUUUGUUGGCGGGGUAACGGCCCACCAAGACAUCGAUGGGUAGGGGUUCUGAGAGGAAGGUCCCCCACAUUGGAACUGAGACACGGUCCAAACUCCUACGGGAGGCAGCAGUGAGGAAUAUUGGUCAAUGGACGAAAGUCUGAACCAGCCAAGUAGCGUGCAGGAUGACGGCCCUCUGGGUUGUAAACUGCUUUUAGUUGGGAAUAAAGUGCACCACGUGUGGUGUUUUGUAUGUACCAUCAGAAAAAGGACCGGCUAAUUCCGUGCCAGCAGCCGCGGUAAUACGGAAGGUCCAGGCGUUAUCCGGAUUUAUUGGGUUUAAAGGGAGCGCAGGCGGACCUUUAAGUCAGCUGUGAAAUACGGCGGCUCAACCGUCGAACUGCAGUUGAUACUGGAGGUCUUGAGUGCACACAGGGAUACUGGAAUUCAUGGUGUAGCGGUGAAAUGCUCAGAUAUCAUGAAGAACUCCAAUCGCGAAGGCAGGUAUCCGGGGUGCAACUGACGCUGAGGCUCGAAAGUGCGGGUAUCAAACAGGAUUAGAUACCCUGGUAGUCCGCACAGUAACCGAUGAAUACUCGCGAUUUGCGAUACACAGUAAGUCGCCAAGCGAAAGCGUUAAGUAUUCCACCUGGGGAGUACGCCGGCAACGGUGCAACUCAAGUGAAUUGACGG
rnacentral:rRNA from 2 species